UACGUAGGUGGCAAGCGUUGUUCGGAAUUAUUGGGCGUAAAGGGCGCGUAGGCGGUUUGUUAAGUCAGCUGUGAAAGCCCGGGGCUCAACCCCGGAGAGUCGGCUGAUACUGGCAAACUUGAGUACGGAAGAGGUAGCUGGAAUUCCCGGUGUAGCGGUGAAAUGCGUAGAUAGUCGGGAGGAACACCUGAGGCGAAGGCGGGCUACUGGGCUGAUACUGACGCUGAGGCGCGAAAGCUAGGGGAGCAAACAGG
rnacentral:rRNA from 1 species